rnacentral:rRNA from 1 species
UACAGAGGGGGCAAGCGUUGUUCGGAAUUACUGGGCGUAAAGGGCGCGUAGGCGGCCUUCUAAGUCGAACGUGAAAUCCCCGGGCUCAACCCGGGAACUGCGUCCGAUACUGGAAGGCUUGAAUCCGGGAGAGGGAUGCGGAAUUCCAGGUGUAGCGGUGAAAUGCGUAGAUAUCUGGAGGAACACCGGUGGCGAAGGCGGCAUCCUGGACCGGCAUUGACGCUGAGGCGCGAAAGCCAGGGGAGCAAAC